CGUCUCUCUAUAUAAGUUAUGAUUGUUGCAAAAACCUACACAAACUCCUCUUCCUCUACUAAUACCCACUGCUAGUAAAGCUACUCUUUUCCCUCAAAAUGUGGAGCUCCUUGAAUGCUUCUUUCAACAGAGUAGUUCUUAGGGGACCGAAGGGUACCAAUUUCAUUCACAGAGAUGACCUAAGCAAGAACCCAUCAACAAAGAAGGUAAAGAAAGGCGAUUUCUUGGCAAGUAGUAGAGAACCAUUGCUUUGCAAAGAAUUAGAGGAUAAGAAGAAUUUGGAAAAGAGAGGCUAUGGCUGUGCUACUACUGUUGAAGAAAAGGGUGUGAUUAGAGUGAAAGUUAAGAUGACAAAACAAGAAGCUGCUCGACUAAUGUCAAAGUGUAAAGAUGGUGGGAUUCUUGAGUUCAGAGACGUAGCACAUGAGCUGGUACAAAUCCCUGUUAAUCAUGUUAGUGUUGUGUCCUCUAGUUGCUGCGGCUACGGUUGUAGUGUCCUUAAAACAAUUCCUGAAGAGAUUUAGAUAAUCAAAAUUUUGUCCAAUUUACUUUAAUUUUAGUUAGUUUUCAAACACCAAUACCUGCAUGCUGCAGCCGUGGGACCUGAUGGAUAGCAGAGUCAUCAAAUACUUGCGUCGUAGUGCUGCUAUAUAAAUUUUAACUUAGUUGGAUGAUUUUGUCAGUUUGUAAUUAGUUCUGUUUCUUAAUCUGCCAACAUGUAUGCGUAAAAAAGAAGAAGAUGCUAAUGAUCAGGUUCAAUGGUAUUGCUCUGUUUUAAUGAAAUACAUAUAUGCGCAUUUAUACUAG
rnacentral:misc_RNA from 1 species